rnacentral:lncRNA from 1 species
CCUGCUUGUCCUUCUCAUCUUAUCACUUGGCCCUCUCUGCCUUCUGUUUUAUCUUCCGGCAAUCCCUAGCCAUCUGAAGCCCUGGCGCUCCCGUCUCCUGCCGCGUUUCUCUCCUCCCUCUCUGUAAUCCGGCCGCCGAUCCACGGAAGCAGGAGCCCAGCUCAUGUACCUGGGAGCCCUGUCUGGCACACAGCACGUCCUUCACAAACUGAUGGCUCCCUGUGCCUGCAGGGAAGGCAGCACCACGAUUGUGUUGGACGGCAGCUGAGAGCAGAUCAGAGAGGGAGGGGCCGCGCUCUCAGUUGCUGAAGCUCCCUUCUCCCCUAAGAGCAGCGGCCCUGAAGUG